rnacentral:rRNA from 1 species
ACGGAGGAUGCGAGCGUUAUCCGGAUUUAUUGGGUUUAAAGGGUGCGUAGGCGGAUAGAUAAGUCAGUGGUGAAAACCUGCAGCUUAACUGUAGACUUGCCGUUGAUACUGUCAGUCUUGAGUAUGGUCAAGGUAGGCGGAAUGUGUAAUAAAGCGGGGAGAUGCUUAUUUAUUCCACAGAACACAGAAUGCUAAGGCAGCCUACUGGGCCAUUAAUCACUAUGAUUCCCGAAAGCGUCGGGAUCUAACAU